UGAGGAAUCUUGCGCAAUGGGGGAAACCCUGACGCAGCAACGCCGCGUGAGUGAAGAAGGCCUUCGGGUCGUAAAGCUCUGUCAGAUGGGAAGAAAUGGAUGGGGGCUAAUCUCGUCCAUCCUUGACGGUCCCAUCAGAGGAAGCACCGGCUAACUCCGUGCCAGCAGCCGCGGUAAUACGGGGGGUGCAAGCGUUGUUCGGAAUCAUUGGGCGUAAAGCGCGCGCAGGCGGCUUGGGAAGUCAGAGGUGAAAUCCCUGGGCUUAACCCAGGAAGUGCAUUUGAUACUGCCUAGCUAGAGUACGGGAGAGGAAAGUGGAAGGCCUGGUGUAGAGGUGAAAUUCGUAGAUAUCAGGAGGAACACCGGUGGCGAAGGCGACUUUCUGGCCCGUUACUGACGCUCAGGCGCGAAAGCGUGGGGAGCAAACA
rnacentral:rRNA from 1 species